rnacentral:tRNA from 4 species
GAAAAAGUAUGCAAGAACUGCUAACUCAUGCUCCCAUGAGUAAAAUCAUGGCUUUUUCA